AGAUUGGGUUUUUAUUCAUGUGAAGAAGAUGUUGAAUAAUCAAGCUUAUGAAGUAGGACAGAACUUGCAGUUAAAACUUGGCGAGUAUAUUUUGGAUUUCUUUACCAUGUGGAGGAUAAAAUAUAUACUAUCGAUAUCAAGAACUAAACUUUUUUGCUGGCUCAUUGUUGAUUCUCAAUACAAAUACAGUUUCUUCGGUGUGUAUUUUGUUUUUACACUGUAGUGAAGCCUCUUCCUCAAGCAAUGUCGUAUAAUGUUUCUCGUACCAUGAGCUUCUUCACCCGAAUCUUCACUCAAUUCAUCGGUACCCUUCUUUCUCUCUUUCUCUGUUCUUGCUGGUUUUUACAAUCAAACCUGAAUUAGAUUAGAUUGUGGUUUUUACAAUCAAACCUGAAUUAGAUUAGAUUGUGGUUUUUACAAUCAAACUUGAAAUAGAUUAGAUUAGCGAUAGUGAUUUACUGACACUAGGUUUGGUUGUGACUAACAUUCUUGUAUGGCUGUCUAUCAAACCUAAAACAGUAUCAACGGUGAGCCGUCAAUUAGCAAAAUUGAUUUCUCUCAACCGAUCUUGGUCAUUUAGGAUCUCAUUUUUGUACAACUUUGAAUGAUAAUGUUUCAGAUUUAUCCAGAAUGUAUGGUUUGCCAAAGGAUAAGUACUCAUCUUCCUCAUCUUGUUGUUUCAAAGCUAUUAUGGUAUUCUUCCAUUUUUCUUUUAAUUUAAUGUGUUACUUUUUCAACUCAAAAAACUGAUUCAAUGAGCUAUUAUGGUGGUCUUGGGGAGGUUCUUGGUAGAAAUGAGCUUAUUGAUAGUUUGAUUGAGAUAAAGUUCUAAAGUAUGUACGUUUAAUUUUAUGAAUUUUGCGGUUUUAUAUAUCUCUUAGAUGCUAAAGGUACUAUUAUUUUCCUUGGUUGGACAGAAAACAUAGACAAGACUGUUAUUUUUCAAUUUAUGCUUGAAGAAGGGAAGGUGAAACAAUUUAAGGAUGUUAUUGAGAGUAUCUAUUGGUUUGAAUUCUUAAUAGGUAAGUUGUAUUUUGGACUUUAUAGGCAUCUCCUUCUCCAUUUGUCAAUAUUAUGAAGCUGAAAAGAGCUAAGCAAAUAGAAAACUAAGGAAACAUGAGGUUGACUUAGUUUUCUUCUCCAUUACACUAAUCAAGCAUUAUUUUGAUUGGGGCUGAGGAUUUAAAAAUAUCAACUAUCUUUCAAUUCUAAUCCAAGCAGGUGCACCCAUCCAUUUUUUCUGUGAAGUCAACUCACUUUGAUUCAUUGAAACAUAUGAACACAAACUCUUACAUUUAUGCAGAAUUCCAAAUCAGAGUUGAUCUUUAUGUCAAUUUCUUGUUUGUAUUUUAUAUAGUUUUAAUUUAAUGGUUUAACAUUAUUUUACAACAGAAGAUAUUCAUGUUCUUAUCUAAAUUUUUAUUUUUUUUUAUUUCAUCGGGCCUAUCCUUUCUUUUUCUUUGAGCAUCAGGUAAUCUAUGUCCUGCUGCAUUGCUAGUUAAGUUUGACUUCUAAUAGUGAGUGUAUUAAUUCACAAAUAAAUAAGUUGGAAUAUUUGUUGGUUUACAAGGGAGCUGUCGAGACAUUUUCCACGCGAAAAUGAAUCUACUUAAGAGUUUUGUGGCUAAACUCUCUGCACUUUCGGUGAUAGUAAACCAAAUUGAGUGUAAGAAACUUGCAUGAAACUGGAUUGUGGUUUCAGCCUUUGGUAGUAGUUGUUCGAUUGGCCUGAAUGGUUCAUUGCUUAUGGAGUACUAUUUGGAGCUUCGUGUUUGAAGUAGAAUUUCGAAUAUCUUAUUGUUUCUGUCCUGGGGAGGCUUUUUGCACAGAAGGGUAAGCGGGUAGUUAUAGAAAGUUCAAUUUUGCAUAUCAUUGUAAUGUCAACAUGCAGGAAAAUAUACAACUAGAGA